rnacentral:rRNA from 1 species
CCAAAAGAUCGAAUGGGGAGAUUCAUCGUCAGCGAUCCCGGUUCGUGUGCGGUUCGUGAUGCCGGGGACCUCGGUCUCAUGGCACACGUCCGCAUGGUUUUAUUGCCGGGUGUCGUCGGCGUGCACUUCUCCCCUAGUAGGACGUCGCGACCCGUUGGGUGUCGGUCUACGGCCCGGGUGGUCGCCUGUCAUGUGUCACGCUUCACGGCGCCAUGUGGCAGACCCCCGGUCGUCUGACCAGCUGCUCGGCGGUACUCGCACGGUAUCGAGUCGCAAAUAUUCGAACUGCGUCCGGCCCGCCGCAAGCGAGGCCAGUGUUUUCCCGGAUGUACGGACCUAGCGCCGUCACCGGGCCUGGCCAGCUGUUGGUUGGCGGUGUCCUGGGACUGACUCUAAAUAAUUAUGAUACCGGUCGGCGACGCUACUGCUUUGGGUACUUUCAGGACCCGUCUUGAAACACGGACCAAGGAGUCUAACAUGUGCGCGAGUCAUUGGGAACUCUUAAGCCUAAAGGCGCAAUGAAAGUGAAGGUCGGCCUUGCGCCGACCGAGGGAGGAUGGGCCGCGUCACGAUGCGGUCCCGCACUCCCGGGGCGUCUCAUUCUCAUUGCGAGAAGAGGCGCACCCAGAGCGUACACGUUGGGACCCGAAAGAUGGU